rnacentral:rRNA from 1 species
UGCAAGUCGAACGGAAUGACAGCUUCGGCGGUCAUUUAGUGGCGGAAGGGUUAGUAAUACAUAGAUAAUCUGUCCUCAACUUGGGAAUAACGACUGGAAACGGUCGCUAAUACCGAAUGUGGUAUGUUUAGGCAUCUAAAGCAUAUUAAAGAAGGGGAUCUUCGGACCUUUCGGUUAAGGGAGAGUCUAUGGGAUAUCAGCUUGUUGGUAGGGUAAUGGCCUACCAAGGCUUUGACGUCUAGGCGGAUUGAGAGAUUGACC